AAUGAACGUUGGCGGCAUGGAUUAGGCAUGCAAGUCGAGCGAGAAAGGUUUUGAAGCUUGCUUUAGAACCUGGACAGCGGCGAAAGGGAGAGUAACGCGUAGUUACCUGCCCCAGGGUCCGGAAUAGCCACGGGAAACUGUGGGUAAUGCCGGAUAAUAUCCCCGGAUCAAAGGUGUGAUUCCGCCCUGGGAGGGGACUGCGUCCUACUAGCUAGUUGGGGGGGUAAUGGCCCACCAAGGCAACGAUGGGUAGCGGGUGUGAGAGCAUGACCCGUCUCACUGGGACUGAGACACUGCCCAGACACCUACGGGUGGCUGCAGUCGAGAAUCUUCGGCAAUGAGCGCAAGCUUGACCGAGCGAUGCCGCGUGCGGGAUGAAGGCCCUCGGGUUGUAAACCGCUGUCGUAGGGGAGGAAAUCUGACGAGGGUUCUCCCUCGUAGUUGACCUAUCCUAGGAGGAAGUACGGGCUAAAUACGUGCCAGCAGCCGCCGUAAAAC
rnacentral:rRNA from 1 species